GACUAACGCUGGCGGCGCGCCUAACACAUGCAAGUCGAACGAAGUUUGAGGAGCUUGCUCCAAGAGCUUAGUGGCGGACGGGUGAGUAACACGUGAGCAACCUGCCUCACAGAGGGGGAUAACGUUUGGAAACGAACGCUAAUACCGCAUAACACCUUCGGAGGACAUCCUCUGAAGGUCAAAGGAGCAAUCCGCUGUGAGAUGGGCUCGCGUCCGAUUAGAUAGUUGGCGGGGUAACGGCCCGACCAAGUCGACGAUCGGUAGCCGGACUGAGAGGUUGAACGGCCGACAUUGGGACUGAGACACGGCCCAGACUCCUACGGGAGGCAGCAGUGGGGGAGUAUUGCGCAAUGGGGGCAACCCUGACGCAGCAACGCCGCGUGAAGGAUGAAGGUUUUCGGAUUGUAAACUCUUUAUUAAGGACGAAUAAUGACGGUACUUAAUGAAUAAGCUCGGCUAACUACGUGCCAGCAGCCGCGGU
rnacentral:rRNA from 1 species